UUCUGUUGGUAACGUCAAAACAGCAAGGUAUUAACUUACUGCCCUUCCUCCCAACUUAAAGUGCUUUACAAUCCGAAGACCUUCUUCACACACGCGGCAUGGCUGGAUCAGGCUUUCGCCCAUUGUCCAAUAUUCCCCACUGCUGCCUCCCGUAGGAGUCUGGACCGUGUCUCAGUUCCAGUGUGACUGAUCAUCCUCUCAGACCAGUUACGGAUCGUCGCCUUGGUAGGCCUUUACCCCACCAACUAGCUAAUCCGACCUAGGCUCAUCUGAUAGCGUGAGGUCCGAAGAUCCCCCACUUUCUCCCUCAGGACGUAUGCGGUAUUAGCGCCCGUUUCCGGACGUUAUCCCCCACUACCAGGCAGAUUCCUAGGCAUUACUCACCCGUCCGCCGCUGAAUCCAGGAGCAAGCUCCCUUCAUCCGCUCGACUUGCAUGUGUUAGGCCUGCCGCCAGCGUUCAAUCUGAGCCAGGAUCAAACCCUA
rnacentral:rRNA from 1 species